UAGUCCACGCCGUAAACGAUGUCUACUAGCCGUUGGGCAGCUUGACUGUUUAGUGGCGCAGCUAACGCGAUAAGUAGACCGCCUGGGGAGUACGGCCGCAAGGUUAAAACUCAAAUGAAUUGACGGGGGCCCGCACAAGCGGUGGAGCAUGUGGUUUAAUUCGACGCAACGCGAAGAACCUUACCAGGUCUUGACAUCCAGAGAAUCCUUUAGAGAUAGAGGAGUGCCUUCGGGAAUUCUGUGACAGGUGCUGCAUGGCUGUCGUCAGCUCGUGUCGUGAGAUGUUGGGUUAAGUCCCGUAACGAGCGCAACCCUUGUCCUUAGUUGCUAGCAGGUUAAGCCGAGAACUCUAAGGAGACUGCCGGUGACAAACCGGGAGGAAGGUGGGGACGACGUCAAGUCAUCAUGGCCCUUACGACCUGGGGCUACACACGUGCUACAAUGGCCGGGUACAGAGGGGCAGCGACCCAGCGAUGGGUGAGCCAA
rnacentral:rRNA from 1 species